UACGUAGGUGGCAAGCGUUGUCCGGAAUUAUUGGGCGUAAAGCGCGCGCAGGCGGUCCUUUAAGUCUGAUGUGAAAUCCCCGGGCUCAACCUGGGAAUGGCAUUUGGGACUGCAAGGCUGGAGUUUGGCAGAGGAGACUGGAAUUCCUGGUGUAGCAGUGAAAUGCGUAGAUAUCAGGAGGAAUACCGAUGGCGAAGGCAGGUCUCUGGGCUAUAACUGACGCUCAUGCACGAAAGCGUGGGGAGCAAACAGG
rnacentral:rRNA from 1 species